rnacentral:lncRNA from 1 species
AUGUCAAGUGUGCUGGAAAGCUCGCUGCUCCAUCUCUAAUAUCUCCAAAUUUGAGCUGGAUCAGACGGUAAGAAGGUCUUCAUUUAAGGGUGUACUUCUGACGGUUUGACUCCGAGCUAAAUAUCUGAUAUUAUAUCCAUUUUGCAAAGCUUUUUCCUAAGUUUUCUGGAAAAAGUCUUGAAACUACAAAUAUUAAAAAAUUAUAAUAAAAAAACUUAAGAGAAAUAAAAAGUAUAAGAAAAGCAUUUAAAAACGAUCCAUAAAAGUGAACAAAAUACGGUGUUAUCAACUCCCUCAAUCUUUUGUUUGUCCUCAAACAAACCAAAAAUCAGAGCAAGAUGAAGUGAAAACAAAAAUAGGGAAUGCACAAAUCUCAAAGACAUGAAUCUCUAAACUAUGACCAUUGAUCGUACAACAAUCGCAACUUAGUCUAGAAAAUUCUCACCAAGAUACAAAAGAUACUAGUCCACUUUUUCCGUUAUGCAAAAUCUAAACAAUCUAAAUCUCAAUUCUAGUCAACUAGCUCUCUACAUUCAUUACGUGCAAAGUGUAAAUUUCUCAUCAAAGACAUCAUUCAGGAUAAAUGGGCGUUUGGCAUUAAAGGCUAUUUAAGUGGUGAAAUUAAAGUGUUUAGGGUUACCUAAAGAUCUGAGGAUGCUACUUAUUAUACAAAACCGCAAGAGAGAAUGGACCUGUUGAUGCCCACAAUUUUCAGUCACUCUUCCUUGCCAAGUGUUGUUGCAUAACCCAUGCUCCUUUAUUGUAAACAACUACUUCCCAUAGACAUAGAUCUUUUCAGGCAUCAAUAAGAUGAUCUCCAAAAACUCCAAAUAAUCAAACCAAGGCUUGCCUCAAAGAUAAAAAAUUGAUCCUCCUAGACUCUCUAAAGUUUUUAUUUCCUUUUCUUUCUCUUUUUUCUUUUCUUUUUUUUUUUGAAAAAAAAAUUCUCUUUUUUUUCUCUUUUUUUUUUUGAAAGAGGAAACACUUUUUAUUAUAAGAGAGAGUCUAAGUGACGAAAAUAUACCAAUGUUUUGAAGUAUUUCUGAGGCAAACCAAGCUUCCUCCUUUGAUGAAUCAUUCAAGAAAUCGCAGGUCUCUGUCUUCAGUGACUGAAAACUGCGUUGAUCCUUUUUUUCUCCGACAUUUUUGCACAUAUUUGCAUAUAGGACAAUGAAAAACAAGAAUGCAUGUGGUUUCAAAGAGGUUGGGUAAGGUGGGGAACUAGGUAAAAAUGAAAUAGCUAUUCAAGAUCAACAAAAAGUGGUAAAAGGAUAAAGGAGUCAUGAAUGUAUGAUUUGUUUCCCUGAUCUAAUGCUUCAAUGAGAAAGAUAAGUCAAUGUUAAGUCUAGAUAAAAACAGAGCUAGUAUAUUCUUUAAUCUAAAUCAAAAUCAUUCAAAUUCCUCUAGGGUACUUUUUUCAAAUGUGCUUAGCUACCGUCUAGUAUAGUCCUAAAUCACGAAUGACCAUGCCACUAGGGAAUAGUCUAAAAGCACAGUCAACUAUCAUCGAUUUAUGUUCAACAUCCACCCAAAAGGUGUUUGAUGAAAUGUCUGAACCAGCUAAAUCAAGAGUCUAUUGUUUGAUUCACAUGGAAAUGCUGUUUUGAGCAUAGAUGGUAUAUUAGGAUUAGUGUUUAAUGCAUUCCUUUCAUUGUUCCUCUAAUAAUAAUUAGGUAUGAGUAAUGUUUGAAAUCGUGUUUUGAUGCUUGAGAAAGAUUGAAACUUGAAAUGAAUCCUAAGCUGCAGAGAUCAUUAAUCAUCAGUGUCAUUAACUCUUUGAUUAAACCCUGAUGUACCCUAGCUAACUAUCAUGUUUAGAACUCUAUUGUUUCAUCAUCUUAAUCAUUUGUUGCUCUUGUUUAUUGCGUGUUUAAGUCUUUAAUCUAGUUUAAACUGUCUUUAGUCUCUUGUUUGAAAUCAAAACCAUCUUGUUUGCUGAAAUUAGGAUACAAACCUCAUAGAUUAGUGAACUAAACCACAUUGUUGGACUGACACUCUUUAUGCUACAACAGAUAAAGGGAUUGAUACCCUAAGAGCCUUGAAAACUCUUGUUUAUCAAUUGGUGAUGUUUCCAAAGUGUGGAUUUAGCAUUAGUCUCUGGUUUGUUCUUGAGUAAAGUGCUUAUUUUUUGUUUUAUUGAUUAAAUCUACAAGUUCUGAAGUUUCAGGUUUAUGUCCAAUAGACCAAGGACCAUAAGCAGAAGUUGUGAGCUAGCUGAACCAUUCUUUGACAAUAUUUACCUGGUAGAGAGAGAGCUGCUAGAAGAGCAAGGGAAAGAGCAGCACAUCUUGAGAGGUUGUGUAUGGAUCAGCAGCAAGUCAGAGAUGAAAAUCAGGGUCAGGGAGUUGGUAUUGGAGCUCUCAUGGGAUUAGAGUACAGGUUCCACAGUCACAGGUCCAUCAAGGAUAAGCUCAGGGAAACCAGAACCAGCAAGGGCAUCAGGUCAAUUAACAGUCCCACCCACAACCUCCCAGGCGUCAAGAGCCAAACCCUGUCUUUAAUGGUGAUAACUUGACUUUUUAAGUCUUGUUUAGGGUUAUCAAUCCUCUAUCAUUGUAGUAAUGAAGAGGUAUCAAUCCAUAAUUGUGGUUAGACACUAGCUUAUGAUGCUUUGUAGCUUUUAAGUCAAGCGCAAUCAAGAAGAUGG